rnacentral:rRNA from 1 species
GAUGAACGCUAGCGGGAGGCCUAACACAUGCAAGCCGAGCGGGAUUUGUUGGUUAGCUUGCUAACUAACAAUGAGAGCGGCGUACGGGUGCGUAGCACGUGUGCAACCUGCCUUUAUCUGGGGAUUAGCCUUCCGAAAGGAAGAUUAAAACCCCUUAACAUAUUGAUUGGCACCAGUUAAUAUUGAAACCUCCGCCGGAUAGAAAUGGGCACGCGUAAGAUUAGCUAGUUGGUGAGGUAACGGCUCACCAAGGCUGCGAUCUUUAGGGGGCCUGAGAGGGUGAUCCCCCACACUGGUACUGAGACACGGACCAGACUCCUACGGGAGGCAGCAGUGAGGAAUAUUGGACAAUGGGUGAGAGCCUGAUCCAGCCAUCCCGCGUGAAGGACUAAGGACCUAUGGUUUGUAAACUUCUUUUAGACAGGGAUAAACCUACUCUCGUGAGGGUAGCUGAAGGUACUGUAUGAAUAAGCACCGGCUAACUCCGUG